rnacentral:rRNA from 1 species
UACGUAGGGGGCUAGCGUUGUCCGGAUUUAUUGGGCGUAAAGAGCGUGUAGGCGGCCAUGUAGGUCCGGUGUGAAAACUCGAGGCUCAACCUCGAGACGCCGGUGGAAACCAUCAGACUAGAGUCCGGAAGAGGAGAGUGGAAUUCCUGGUGUAGCGGUGAAAUGCGCAGAUAUCAGGAAGAACACCCGUGGCUAAGGCGGCUCUCUAGUACGGUACUGACGCUGAGACGCGAAAGCGUGGGGAGCGAACAGG